rnacentral:rRNA from 1 species
GAUAAACGCUGGCGGCGUGCCUAAUGCAUGCAAGUCGCACGGAGCGCUCUUUCGGGGGUGCUGAGUGGCGAACGGGUGAGGAACGCGUGGACAACCUACCCCGGCGUGGGGGAUACCCGCCAGAAAUGGCGGCUAAUACCGCGUACGGUUCUCUGGCGAGGGGCUGGGGAAAGAAAGCCGUGAGGCGCGCUGGGAGGGGUCUGCGGCCGAUUAGCUGGUUGGCGGGGUAAUGGCUCACCAAGGCGAUGAUCGGUAGCUGGUCUGAGAGGAUGAUCAGCCACACGGGGACUGAGACACGGCCCCGACUCCUACGGGAGGCAGCAGCAAGGAAUUUUCCGCAAUGGGGGCAACCCUGACGGAGCAACGCCGCGUGACGGAUGACGCCUCUUGGGGUGUAAACGUCUUUUGCCGAGGGAGAGUAUGGACGGUACUCGGCGAAUCAGGACCGGCUAACUACGUGCCAGCCGCCGCCGUAAC